rnacentral:rRNA from 1 species
GUCGAGAAUCUUUCGCAAUGCCCGCAAGGGUGACGAAGCGACGCCGCGUGUGGGAAGAAGGCCUUCGGGUUGUAAACCACUGUCGGGAGUUAAGAAAGGCGGGAGAGUGAAUAGCUUUCCUGUUUUGACGAAAGCUCCGGAGGAAGCCACGGCUAACUCUGUGCCAGCAGCCGCGGUAAUACAGAGGCGGCAAGCGUUGUUCGGAAUUAUUGGGCGUAAAGAGCACGUAGGCGGCCUUGCAAGUCAGUUGUGAAAGCCUUCCGCUUAACGGAAGAACGGCAUCUGAUACUACAGGGCUUGAGUACGGGAGGGGAGAGUGGAACUUCUGGUGGAGCGGUGAAAUGCGUAGAUAUCAGAAGGAACGCCGGCGGCGAAAGCGACUCUCUGGUCCGAAACUGACGCUGAGUGUGCGAAAGCUAGGGGAGCAAACGGGAUUAGAUACCCUAGUAGUCC